rnacentral:rRNA from 1 species
AUUGAACGCUGGCGGAAUGCUUUACACAUGCAAGUCGAACGGCAGCACGGGUGCUUGCACCUGGUGGCGAGUGGCGAACGGGUGAGUAAUACAUCGGAACGUACCCAGUUGUGGGGGAUAACUAACCGAAAGGUUAGCUAAUACCGCAUACGACCUGAGGGUGAAAGCGGGGGACCGUAAGGCCUCGCGCAAUUGGAGCGGCCGAUGUCUGAUUAGCUAGUUGGUAGGGUAAAGGCCUACCAAGGCGACGAUCAGUAGCUGGUCUGAGAGGAUGAUCAGCCACACUGGAACUGAGACACGGUACAGACUCCUACGGGACGCAGCAGUGGGGAAUUUUGGACAAUGGGCGAAAGCCUGAUUCAGCCAUUCCGCGUGAGUGAAGAAGGCCUUCGGGUUGUAAAGCUCUUUCGGCAGGGAAGAAACGGCCUAGGUUAAUACCUUGGGCUAAUGACGGUACCUGAAGAAGAAGCACCGGCUAACUACGUGUCAGCCGCCGCCGUAA